rnacentral:rRNA from 1 species
ACUCAAAGGAAUAGACGGGGGCUCACACAAGCGGUGGAGCAUGUGGCUUAAUUCGAAGCAACGCGAAGAACCUUAUCCUAGGCUUGACAUGCACGUAUCAACUUCUUGAAAGAGAAGCCACACCCGCAAGGGCGGAACGUGCACAGGUGCUGCAUGGCUGUCGUCAGCUCGUGCUGUGAAGUGUCGGGUUAAGUCCCUCAACGAGCGAAACCCCUGUUGUUAGUUGCUAACGCGUAAUGGCGAGGACUCUAGCAAGACUGCCGGUGUCAAACCGGAGGAAGGUGGGGAUGACGUCAAGUCCUCAUGGCCCUUAUGCCUAGGGCUGCACACGUGCUACAAUGGCGGAUACAGAACGAUGCAAGACCGCAAGGUGGAGCAAAUCGCAUAAAGUCCGCCUCAGUUCGGAUUGGAGGCUGCAACCCGCCUCCAUGAAGUCGGAAUCGCUAGUAAUCGCGGAUCAGCUACGCCGCGGUGAAUAUGUUCCUGAGCCUUGUACACACCGCCCGU